ACCAUUUUUCCAAAAUAAAAUAAAAAUCUGUUCUUGUCAGUUCAAUAUCUGAUAUGUCCCUAUCUGGGGACAAUAUAUGAAAUAGAUUUUUCCACAGUGAAAUAGGUUAUACAUAGCUGUGCCAUUAUUCAGAAUUCGUAAUUCGCGUGUAUGAAAUUUGAAGCCCCAAGCGGCUAAACCCGC
ensembl:snRNA U2 U2 spliceosomal RNA